rnacentral:lncRNA from 1 species
UCUUUUCUUAAAUAGUCAAAAUGGGUCAUCUCUUUUUUAAUUAGAGAAAAAAUAUCCUAAGAGGACCACACACACGCACAACCGUUCCAUUCCUUCCCCAUCUGUAAGACUAUGGAUUUCUGUCCUUCUAGGGCCAUCAAUAUCACUAUCAUUAUUUUUCUUCCCUUUCACAAUCAUGAUACCCUUUAAAUAGUUAACAUCAUUUGAAUGCAAGCUGCAAGUUAGCUCAUUUUCAAAUGCUAAUUAUCUUUUAUCUGGUCUUUGAAAAAACACCCAAAUAGGACAAAAACCUCAAAAUUCCUUCCCCAUCUGUAAGACCAUGAUUUUCUGACCAUAAAUAUCAGUCAAUAUCUAAACUAGUUCAUUUUUUUUUAUCGCAUUUACCUUCCCAGUUUAACUUAUAAAUCAGUACAAGGAAGUUUUAUCAAAAAAAAUAUGUUUCCCUCUUAUUUUCUGAUAAAAGGCCAAUAGUCAAUAAUUGAAUAUGAUUGAUAAAGUUUGAACAAUA